rnacentral:rRNA from 1 species
UGGGGAAUUUUGGACAAUGGGGGCAACCCUGAUCCAGCAAUGCCGCGUGUGUGAAGAAGGCCUUCGGGUUGUAAAGCACUUUUGUCCGGAGAGAAAUCCCUUGCCCUAAUACGGCGGGGGGAUGACGGUACCGGAAGAAUAAGCACCGGCUAACUACGUGCCAGCAGCCGCGGUAAUACGUAGGGUGCGAGCGUUAAUCGGAAUUACUGGGCGUAAAGCGUGCGCAGGCGGUUUUGUAAGACAGGCGUGAAAUCCCCGAGCUCAACUUGGGAAUGGCGCUUGUGACUGCAAGGCUAGAGUAUGUCAGAGGGGGGUAGAAUUCCACGUGUAGCAGUGAAAUGCGUAGAGAUGUGGAGGAAUACCGAUGGCGAAGGCAGCCCCCUGGGACGUCACUGACGCUCAUGCACGAAAGCGUGGGGAGCAAACAGGAUUAGAUACCCUGGUAGUCCACGCCCUAAACGAUGUCAACUAGUUGUUGGGGAUUCAUUUCUUCAGUAACGUAGCUAACGCGUGAAGUUGACCGCCUGGGGAGUACGGUCGCAAGAUUA